AGUAGCUCACCGCCGUGUCGCCGCCGUGUCGCCGCCGGUCUCCGUUCGUGUCUCCAUCGAAGUGGAUUACAAGAUUUUUACUCACUUUAAUUCCUCACUUCAGAAAGAUUUUGUUGUCGGCUUUUGAGUGUCCUCAUUGUGGUGAGAGGUGAGUUACUCUUUAUUGUGAAGUGUGUUU